GGUAGCGCCUCGUGAAUUCAUCUCCGGGGGUAGAGCACUGUUUCGGCAAGGGGGUCAUCCCGACUUACCAACCCGAUGCAAACUGCGAAUACCGGAGAAUGUUAUCACGGGAGACACACGGCGGGUGCUAACGUCCGUCGUGAAGAGGGAAACAACCCAGACCGCCAGCUAAGGUCCCAAAGUCAUGGUUAAGUGGGAAACGAUGUGGGAAGGCCCAGACAGCCAGGAUGUUGGCUUAGAAGCAGCCAUCAUUUAAAGAAAGCGUAAUAGCUCACUGGUCGAGUCGGCCUGCGCGGAAGAUGUAACGGGGCUAAACCAUGCACCGAAGCUGCGGCAGCGACACUGUGUGUUGUUGGGUAGGGGAGCGU
rnacentral:rRNA from 1 species